rnacentral:ncRNA from 1 species
AAGGUUUGGUCCUAGCCUUGAAAUCAGUUCUUAUAAAAUAUACACAUGCAAGUCUCCGCAUCCCAGUGAGAAAGCCCUUAACUCCCUGCUAGGGAGCAGGAGCUGGUAUCAGGCCCACUCAGCGCCCAUAACACCUAGUCUCGCCACGCCCACAAGGGUCUUCAGCAGUGAUUAACAUUGAGAAUAAGCGUCAGCUUGACUCAGUUAAUAUAUUUAGAGCCGGCUAAUCUGGUGCCAGCCGCCGCGGUUACACCAUUGUGGCUCAAAUUGAUUUCCUUCGGCGUAAAGUGUGAUUUAAGAGAACCCACCAUGUUUGGAAUCCAACUGAAACUAAGCUGUGACACGCUUGUUACCCAUGAAGUCCAUAAACGAAAGUUAUUCCACCUUCAUCAACUUGAACUCACGACAACUGAGAAACAAACUAGGAUUAGAUACCCCACUAUGCCCAGUCGUAAACUUUAAAUUACUCCCCCACUCGCCCGGGAACUACGAGCCAAGCUUAAAACCCAAAGGACUUGACGGUACCCCAUAUCCCCCUAGAGGAGCCUGUCCUAUAAUCGAUAACCCCCGUUUAACCUCACCAUUUUUAGCAACUCAGCCUGUAUACCUCCGUCGUCAGCUUACCACGUGAGCGCUAGUGAGCUCAAUGUUUUUCCAACUAAACGUCAGGUCAAGGUGCAACACAUGAAAUGGGAAGAGAUGGGCUACACUUUCUAAUAUAGAUCACACGGAAGACUAACUAUGAAAUCUAGUCAGAAGGCGGAUUUAGAAGUAAAAAGCAACCAGAGAGUCCUUUUUAACCCGGCACUGGGGUGUGUACACACCGCCCGUCACCCUCCUCAAUGCCAUCAAAAAGUCUUUAACACUUCCCCGGCCAUUAAGAAGAGGCAAGUCGUAACAUGGUAAGCAUACCGGAAGGUGUGCUUGGAAA